CUGGUGAGUUUUCCGAGAAAGUGAGAGAAAAUCGAAGGAAAAUAAGCGAAGAUAAAUGAAAAAGAUGGGAGGAUCUGCGUUAACGGGUAUUUGUUAUGGCAAUGACAGACGAGUAUGCUUAAUAUAUAGAGAGAGAGAGAGUAGAGACAGCGAGGGAGGGAAUGGUCAAAGGGCUAUUGAUGGAUUGGAAAAUUCUAAGGCAAAUUACAAACACCCCAUCGAGGUUUGGUGAAAAUACAGAUUUUCUCUGAAGUCUGAGAACGCAUCAAACCUAACAACAACCCUACAACCAACAUCAAUCUCAAAAAAUGAUAUUCGAGACGGAAAAUUUCAAAACGAUCUAGGGGUAUCACUCCUUGAAUUCGGAGAUCUGAUCGUCAGUGAGCUGAUCGGCCAUUCUGGUGAGUUUUCCGAGAAAGUGAGAGAAAAUCGAAGGAAAAUAAGCGAAGAUAAAUGAAAAAGAGAGGAGGAUCUGCGUUAACGGGUAUUUGUUAUGGCAAUGACAGACGAAUAUGCUUAAUAUAUAGAGAGAGAGAGAGAGUAGAGACAACGAGGGAGGGAAUGGUCAAAGGGCUAUUGAUGGAUUGGAAAAUUCUAGGGCAAAUUACAAACACCCCAUCGAGGUUUGGUGAAAAUACAGAUUUUCUCUAAAGUCUGAGAACACAUCAAACCUAACAACAACCUUACAACCAACAUCAAUCUCAAAAAAUGAUAUUCACGUGAUACCCCUAGAUCGUUUCGAAAUUUUCUGAUCCAUGCUUUAUAAGUUCUCUCUGGGUCCUUUUUCUUGAUUGAUUGUUGUUAUUUUAUUUUAUUUUUUUAUUUUUUGAGAACUGUCUAAUUUUUGCAUGCAUUAGGCUCGGUUGCAUUGGCCCUUUCAUAUGAUGGAUGGAAACACAUUAGAGCAUCUCUAAUCCUUGCUCUCUCUUUUUUCGUCAAAUUUGAUUGAAAAUUUGGUUGGUUCGUUUAUAUUCACGUGAUACCCCUAGAUCGUUUCGAAAUUUUCCGUCUCGAAUAUCAUUUUUUGAGAUUGAUGUUGGUUGUAGGGCUGUUGUUAGGUUUGAUGCGUAUCAAACGCACUGCUGAUCGUUAUCAUCUAUUUUUCUGAGCCCCAAAUCCUUCUUGUGUUUUUUUUUUUUUGUUUCUGUGAUGAUGCUUUAUUUAUGUGUUCUGAUGAUGCUAUUUAUAUAUCUGAUCCAUGCUUUAUAAGUUCUCUCUGGGUCCUUUUUCUUGAUUGAUUGUUGUUAUUUUAUUAUUAUAUUUUUUUUUUGAGAACUGUCUAAUUUUUGCAUGCAUUAGGCUCGGUUGCAUUGGCCCUUUCAUAUGAUGGAUGGAAACGCAUUAGAGCAUCUCUAAUCCUUGCUCUCUCUUUUUUCAUCAAAUUUGAUUGAAAAUUAGGUUGGUUCGUUUAUAUUCACGUGAUACCCCUAGAUCGUUUCGAAAUUUUCCGUCUCGAAUAUCAUUUUUUGAGAUUGAUGUUGGUUGUAGGGUUGUUGUUAGGUUUGAUGCGUAUCAAACGCACUGCACAUGAUGUUGAUAUUUGGAUUCGAGGCUAUUAUUUGCUGAUCGUUAUCAUCUAUUUUUCUGAGCCCCAAAUCCUUCUUGUGUUUUUUUUUUUGUUUCUGUGAUGAUGCUUUAUUUAUGUGUUCUGAUGAUGCUAUUUAUGUAUCUGAUCCAUGCUUUAUAAGUUCUCUCUAGGUCCUUUUUCUCGAUUGAUUGUUGUUAUUUUAUUUAUUAUUAUUUUUUUUUGAGAACUGUCUAAUUUUUGCAUGCAUUAGGCUCGGUUGCAUUGGCCCUUUCAUAUGAUGGAUGGAAACGCAUUAGAGCAUCUCUAAUCCUUGCUCUCUCUUUUUUCAUCAAAUUUGAUUGAAAAUUUGGUUAAAAGUUCGAUCUAGUAUUGGAACGCUCCAAUCCUUUGUUUUUUGUUUUUAUCAAAUCUUUUUGAAAAAUCCCAAACUUAUCCUAAAAUCUUGUUUUAACCAUUUCUGAUGAAAUAAAAUAACUCCCUAUUCUUACACUUUUUAAAUUCUCGUCAAUUGUGUGUAAAAUAUGACUGUUGGAAAUUUGGUGAAGGAUUUUGGUUCAUCUUUGGUGAAAAUUUUGCCUCCCCCUUGAUUUGAUAGAUGUUUGAUAAAAUGAUUGGAGCUCAAUUUUAGCUCUUUACUCAUCAAAUAUAAAUUUGAUGAAAGAAUUGGUGAAGGAUUGGAGAUCUCUUAGGAGCUGUAGUUUCAUUCCCUUCUUGUGGCUCUUUUUAGUAGGGAAUUAAAAAUUAUUGUUAUGGUACUAUUUUUUUUAUACAAAAAACAUUAGCAGAUUUAUGUUUGGGACAAAAAUACCUUAAAUAUUUGUUGGACUAGAGUGAUUGUAAUCAAAUUUUGUGGUAAAAAAUAUCUUUAUGUUUCUACAAAUCACAAAAUUGCCUUCUUCCUCCUCUGUUUACUAUUUCUCUCCCCUCAUAUAUGUGGUAUGUAUUUCUUGUCUAUAAUCAGCAACCAUGCACUUAUCUCCCCACCAGAGCACAACCGGUAGUCAAGCAUCCAUUGGUCUCCCCCUCACUCCAUCCAUCAUAUGAAAGGGCCAAUGCAACCGAGCCUAAUGCAUGCAAAAAUUAGACAGUUCUAAAAAAAAAAAUAAAUAAAUAAAAUAACAACAAUCAAUCAAGAAAAAGGACCCAGAGAGAACUUAUAAAGCAUGGAUCAGAUACAUAAAUAGCAUCAUCAGAACACAUAAAUAAAGCAUCAUCACAGAAA